rnacentral:lncRNA from 1 species
GAUGGGGGUGAAACCCGACCAGUACUCCAAGACGCGCAAGCAAGCGCCAAGCGGGGAACUCCGCGGGAAACCGGACCGGAACUCAAGUGUGCAGAGCUCUGCUUCGCUAGGAACUCUUCUUCUCCAAAUGACUUGCCUUUGAUGAGUGGGGGGUGCCCUCUAUUUAUAGGGGUUCUUAUGGGGUCAAUCUGGUCAUUUGGGCAGUAACCGCCUAACUGCCUAACUGAUCAGAUUGGGUCCAGGGGUCGACUUUCCAGAG